ACAACAGUUGGAAACGACUGCUAAUACCGCAUAAGCCCACGGAUCCGCAUGGAUCUGCGGGAAAAGGAUUUAUUCGCUUCAGGAUGGACUCGCGUCCAAUUAGCUAGUUGGUGAGGUAACGGCCCACCAAGGCGACGAUUGGUAGCCGGACUGAGAGGUUGAACGGCCACAUUGGGACUGAGACACGGCCCAGACUCCUACGGGAGGCAGCAGUGGGGGAUAUUGCACAAUGGGGGAAACCCUGAUGCAGCGACGCCGCGUGGAGGAAGAAGGUUUUCGGAUUGUAAACUCCUGUCGUUAGGGACGAUAAUGACGGUACCUAACAAGAAAGCACCGGCUAACUACGUGCCAGCAGCCGCGGUAAAACGUAGGGUGCAAGCGUUGUCCGGAAUUACUGGGUGUAAAGGGAGCGCAGGCGGACCGGCAAGUUGGAAGUGAAAACUAUGGGCUCAACCCAUAAAUUGCUUUCAAAACUGCUGGCCUUGAGUAGUGCAGAGGUAGGUGGAAUUCCCGGUGUAGCGGUGGAAUGCGUAGAUAUCGGGAGGAACACCAGUGGCGAAGGCGACCUACUGGGCACCAACUGACGCUGAGGCUCGAAAGCAUGGGUAGCAAACAGGAUUAGAUACCCUGGUAGUCCAUGCCGUAAACGAUGAUUAAUAGGUGUUGGAGGAUUGACCCCUUCAGUGCCG
rnacentral:rRNA from 1 species